rfam:Candidatus Syntrophoarchaeum butanivorans isolate BOX1 BOX1_11reassembly_contig04, whole genome shotgun sequence.
GGGCCGGUAGAUCAGGGGUAGAUCGCCACCUUGGCAUGGUGGAGGCCUCGGGUUCGAAUCCCGACCGGUCCA